rfam:Felis catus isolate Cinnamon breed Abyssinian chromosome A3, whole genome shotgun sequence.
GCCUGGGUGGCUCAGUCGGUUGAGCAUCCCACUUCGGCUCAGGUCAUGAUCUCACAGUUCGUGGGUUCGAGCCACACUUCAGGCU